rnacentral:rRNA from 1 species
UGGGGAAUAUUGGACAAUGGGCGAAAGCCUGAUCCAGCCAUGCCGCGUGUGUGAAGAAGGUCUUCGGAUUGUAAAGCACUUUAAGUUGGGAGGAAGGGCAUUAACCUAAUACGUUAGUGUUUUGACGUUACCGACAGAAUAAGCACCGGCUAACUCUGUGCCAGCAGCCGCGGUAAUACAGAGGGUGCAAGCGUUAAUCGGAAUUACUGGGCGUAAAGCGCGCGUAGGUGGUUUGUUAAGUUGGAUGUGAAAUCCCCGGGCUCAACCUGGGAACUGCAUUCAAAACUGACUGACUAGAGUAUGGUAGAGGGUGGUGGAAUUUCCUGUGUAGCGGUGAAAUGCGUAGAUAUAGGAAGGAACACCAGUGGCGAAGGCGACCACCUGGACUAAUACUGACACUGAG